AUGUAUUGGAAAGUAUUUGGCUUGCCUUGGAAAUGUUUCCCAUUUGAAAACAAGCUGCAGUGGGAGAGCUGGCAGCUGCACAGGAGGCUGCUCUGUGAAAAUUGGAUUUCCCUGUGUGGCACAGUGGGAAUGGGUCACAGGGAGGGCUUUGAGCAGCUCCCAGAAAAGGCUGCAGGCCGUGCAGAUCUGCCAGUGGAGAACCCUUCUGCUUGGUCUCCAGAGGAUUUCUGUCACUCUGUCACUUGGCACAACAGGGAUUUUGGAACGGAUUUAUUCCUGGUUUUUGUCCCUUGGGCAAGGAGAACGUGCAGAAGAACAGCAAAGCUUGGCUUAUACUCAUGAAUUAAAAACCUUGGGAUUAUUUUAAAUCUCCAGAUGUGGAGUAGGAUCUCUGCUCUAAUUCUGCUCUCAGUUCAAGUCCAAUUUUUUUUAACCUCAACAACAGAGCCACUGUCUGUGCCUAGUUUAUCAGUAAGCAACACCAGGACACCUGGUCCUGGCUGAGAGAGCCAGAGGUCUGAUGCAUGAGUUUGGGAUACACUGAAUUUUCUCUGGGGCCCUGUUAGCUGCACAGGAAUCAACAAUUCCCCCUUCCAGGGGUGACGUGAGGACAAUUUCUGCUGCUUCUGUGCGAUGCUCUGAGGAUGAUAAUGCUGGAAAAUGCUUGCUCCAGCCCUGGAGAGAUUUGUUACUGUGCCUAAGCCCUUCUGGAGACAGAUUUAUCGUUCAGCUUAAGAACGAGGAACAAUAUCACAUCCAAAAAAAUCCUUCUCCCACCCUGGCUUGCAGCUUUCCCAGCAGAGAGGACCACACACCCUUCGGUGCUGGUUCUUCCUUCCCCAUAUCUGCAGCUCCUAUCUCCACCCCUGGUGCUGCAUGAGGCACUGCCUGCCCUCCAGGGCCCAGACCCUGCACACAAACUUGCCUUUUUGCACAUUUUUUUUCAGAGCAAACCCUUUCCCUGUGGGAUAGGGGGUGGGAAUUCGUGCCUUGACCCUGAAACAGAAUUUGUGCAUGGGAAGUUUCUGUGUGCUCCCCACCAUGUGUGCUGCCAGUGAGGAUCCUUCUCGUGAUGGUUUGGUGACAAAAAAGCCACCACAUCCUCAGCUGGCCUGCACAGAGCUGUCUCAGCGUGGGCACAAGGCAGGGACCUCAGCUGGACCAUCUGAGGUGCUCAUCCCCACCUCUUGCUGGAGAAUGAGGCAUUUUUUUAGCCUCGUGUGAACUGGAUAGAAAUGCAGGGCGGUGUCCUCUGGUUCCCACCGACAAAAGGGAGCUGCACUGUGGGAGGUGGAGAAAAGCUGCCCAAAGCUGGCAGGGAUGUGAAGGGACAGGUCUGCAGCACACAGCCACUGGAGGGCACAAGGAGCAAAGCUAAGACCCUUCUGCAGGAGAGAGGAUUUAUGAAUGGGCAGCCUUCUUCCUCACAGCAGCUGAGUUUCUCCUGAGAGGUUUUUUUUUUUUUUUUUUUUUUUUUUUUUUUUUUUUAAUCCUUGCAAAUAUGUUUUCUGUGUUCCCAGGCUGGCAUUUACAGUUAAAAGGACACCUCAAUUCUUGGUGCCUGAGGAUGGACAGUGUUGGAACCCUGAAGCCUGGGAGUUUUGAGCUUUCUGUGCUUUCUGCCACUGACCCCCUGGAGAACACUGCUUUUGACUUGAGGCCUUGGGGAAGGCUUCCAAAUUUGAGUGAUCUUCCAAAUUUGAGUGAUGGAGUUAAAAUCACUGGUGUGUAGUUAAAAUAGAAGUGUGUAAUUUCACAUGGUGGAAGGUUUUAAAUUUAAGUGUUUUAGAAUAUAGUAAUAGGUAUGGGACAAGAUAGAGGUUUUUGGGUAUUGUCUCUUUCUGUCUUCUUCCUUCUUCUUCAUGUUUUUGGGUUUUUAGUUACCCCCCCCCCCCCCCCCCCCCCCCCCCCCCCCCCCCCCCCCCCCCCCCCCCCCCCCCCCCCCCCCCCCCCCCCCCCCCCCCCCCCCCCCCCCCCCCCCCCCCCCCC
rnacentral:lncRNA from 1 species